rnacentral:rRNA from 1 species
AUUGAACGCUGGCGGCAUGCUUUACACAUGCAAGUCGAACGGCAGCGGGGAGGAGCUUGCUUCUCUGCCGGCGAGUGGCGAACGGGUGAGUAAUACAUCGGAACGUGUCGAGAAGAGGGGGAUAACCACCCGAAAGGGUGGCUAAUACCGCAUAAAUUCUGAGGAAGAAAGCUGGGGACCUAGGAAUAGGCCUAGCGCUUUUUGAGCGUCCGAUGUCGGAUUAGCUAGUUGGUGAGGUAAAGGCUCACCAAGGCGAAGAUCUGUAGCGGGUCUGAGAGGAUGAUCCGCCACACUGGGACUGAGACACGGCCCAGACUCCUACGGGAGGCAGCAGUGGGGAAUUUUGGACAAUGGGGGCAACCCUGAUCCAGCCAUGCCGCGUGUAUGAAGAAGGCCUUAGGGUUGUAAAGUACUUUUGUUAGAGAAGAAAAGUCAGCUGUGAAUAAUGGCUGAUACUGACGGUACCUAAAGAAUAAGCACCGGCUAACUACGUG